rnacentral:sRNA from 1 species
UACGGUAAUAUAUUUAACAAUUAAAUUCUGAAUCAAUUAACAAACACAAUCUCUUGCAUCUUGUAGAUCUUCCUAGCAUCAAAUUUUAACUCGAACAAACAGCAAUUAACAACCAAAAUCAUGAGAUAAAGGAAAGUGAAUUACCCUGCGAAGCCAAGAUAGAGAAGUGAAGACCGCCCCGUCAAAAUUCGAAGAGCCAUUUCAAAAUUGGAAGCUAAGCCACCACCAGCACCAGACCCAGGUUUGUAGUCGUACCUGCUCCCGCUCCUACUGUAUCCGUAGCUGUAAUGAGAAUAGUGGUUGUUUCCGCCGUGAUUGCCCGAGCUCCGCCGGAAAUUGUAGUCGGCUCGCUUUCGGUCAUCCAUAAGGACCUCGUAGGCCUCCGAUACCUGCUUGAAUCGAAUUGUGGCAUUUUCCCUAAUGGCCCUCGGCGAUUGAGAAUGCUUGUCCGGGUGAAACUGAAACGCUAGUUUCUUGAAAGCGGUUUUGAUUUCCUCCUUGGUCGCGGUUCGGUGCAAGCCGAGAACCUUGUAGUGAUCCAUUUCGAUGGACCGAAUUGGGAUUGAGCUUGUUUCGGUUUUUGUUGAUUGCUAGGGUUUAUGGAAUUUUCCUCCCCUCUCUCGUAUGAAUUUUCUCCUAGAAGUGGCGAAGGGGAAGUACAGGAAGAUGAUCUUCCGGUUUAGAAGAUUGGGGAUUUUGUUAUUCAUGGCUUGAAGAAUGACGAAUCGUGGCCGUGUUGUGCCCGCUGCUUUCUUUGAGAGUUCUCUCUCUCCGUCUUGCUCUUCCUCUCCCCAUCACCGACGAAGUUGGUCCAAUAAGCACGGUUCUCGCUCUUUUC